rnacentral:rRNA from 1 species
CCUACGGGUGGCUGCAGUGGGGAAUAUUGCACAAUGGGCGAAAGCCUGAUGCAGCAACGCCGCGUGAGCGAAGAAGGCCUUUGGGUCGUAAAGCUCUGUCGGGAAGGAAGAUAAUGACGGUACUUCCCGAGGAAGCCCCGGCUAACUACGUGCCAGCAGCCGCGGUAAUACGUAGGGGGCGAGCGUUAUCCGGAAUUAUUGGGCGUAAAGAGUGCGUAGGUGGUUUUUUAAGCGUGUGGUGAAAGGCAAUAGCUCAACUAUUGUAAGCCUCGCGAACUGGAAGACUUGAGUGCAGGAGAGGAAAGCGGAAUUCCUAGUGUAGCGGUGAAAUGCGUAGAUAUUAGGAGGAACACCAGUGGCGAAGGCGGCUUUCUGGACUGUAACUGACACUGAGGCACGAAAGCGUGGGGAGCAAACAGGAUUAGAUACCCCGGUAGUC